CGUAACCGCGAGUUCCACAUUCCUGAAGUCAUUUGCUCGGCAGCAUUGAAACACGAAGGUUGGGUCCACAAUAUUUUUGGUGACCUCUGGAACACUCGAUGUUCGAAAAAUUGUAUUCUUGAGAUCUGGUGACUACGUGGAUAGACUAUGCGAAUGGUUGCGAUCAAGUUGCAACGGGUCUGGUUUCGUCAAGGAGCAAAGGAUAUUGUCCGUGUGCUAUUCCUGCGCCUAUACGUGUUACUGCUACGCCAAUGCUAAGGUUCGACGGAGAUUUCUCGGACUAACAAAUCAUAAUGCAAUAACGUUACAUUUUUAACUUUAACGUAUUAAAACUGAAUUGUUUUUAGCACAAUGCUGACAGUUUUCUGAUGAAAAUAAGACCAAGCAUGAUAUAGUUUUGACAGAUAUUUCUGAUUAAUUGAAUAAAUAUGGUCUAAA